AAUCGUUGGCCAUUCAUCAAAUAACUAAAAUCAUUGUGUAGUUAAGUUAAGCAAAUAAAGUAAACAGAAUGACUCAAUAAUAUGAAAACAUAACAUGAUUUCAAAUCCUACAAAAGGUUCGUCAAACUCUAGAUAAGGAACUGUCACAAUCCGAACCGGGGGACCUGGCCGUGACGGGGAUCCCGAACCAUGAAGGCCCGAAAGCCCUUCUAACAUGCAAUCAUAUACACCAUUCAUUUACAAAGAGGAACUGCAGAAAUACAAAAUAAAAUGGAAUCAUGGUUGAUAUCAUAAUUCAAUCGAACAAUCUGGAAUGGAAAACAUAAACCUCUAAACAAAGUCUAACAUCAGUCUGCGAAAUCUCUAACAACUGAAAAUGACAUUUGUUUGAAAUCUGGGAUAAGCCACCAGUCGGGUCAUCAAUCCAAAUGAAAUAACAAUAACAAGUUCUAAUAUAGGCCUUCCGAAGUAAGGGAGGCUCACCAAUUGCAACUUCUGAUGCACUCAAACCUAUUGCUGAACUGGACCUCGAGACCGUGCCUCAGAUCCUAAGAUGGAGAGAGGGUCAAUACAGAUGUACUGGUACGCAGAGCAAUCCAAAAAUAAUGUACUUUUAUAUACAACAUAGGUGAGAGCAUUUCAUUAAAAUGUUAAGAAAGAAAUAAUUUAAAACACAUGGGCAACUUAAAAUAAUCAUUCAAUGCAAAUCUGUAGAUGUAAAACCAUUCUUUAUUUUUUUUACUUCUGAGGUAAGUGGUACACCCUACAUAUCUGAAAGUUUCCCACGAGCAAUAUGAGAUCCUCCAUUAACUCGGUGGCCAAGCCCCCAACCCAAGUUUGCCGAAAGGGUUAAAGUAUCUGAAUCUGAUACGCCCUAACGCAAUAGGCCAGUGUAUAAUAAUAUAUCUGAAUCAGCAAAAUACGAUUUCCGGAAAUGAAUCAUAUGACUCGUGCCUUCUUCGGGUAACCACCUAACUCUCUUAGUGCCCAGUUUUUAACCCAUUCUAAACAUGCAUCUUUUUGAAUUCAAAAUCUGAAAUCUAAAAUGAAAUUUAUAUCCAGUUCUGAGUUUUAUCAUGACUUUAUCUGAUUUGGUAUCGUCAUACCAAGACUUGCAAGUCAUAAUUCUGAGCCAUAAAAUAUCCUUUAUAGUUUUCUCUUUCAAAAGACAAAGGUUAGACCACCAUACUUCAAACAAUUCCGAAAGAUUCAUUCUUCUAAAACAUAUAUCAAAUUAUGCAAAGGUCAUUCUUUUCAAUCAUUUCAACAAACCUGUGGUGGACUUGAGUUUGAACAACCCAUGAAAUUUCUUUUCAUACGUAUCAAUAUAUAUAUAUAUAUAUAUAUAUAUAUAUAUUCAGCACUUACAAACAUGUAAAAUCCUCUCUCUUCAAUUCAAAAAUCAUAAUCAAGUCAUAAACAAAGUCAAGGCUUUUAUAUUGAAUUAUAUUUCCAAUAUCACAUUUCGAACACAUCAUAUCUUACGAAGUUAAGAGACUUGUAAAUAAGAGAGGGAUUUAAAAUAGUUCAUGCUCACAAUUCAUAAUUCAAACUCAUCAAACUCAUACAUAUAUUUACUUAAACAUGGUUAUAAAUCAGAUUUGGGGGAAAGGCCUCAAGACCAAAUUAAUAUCAUCAAAAACUUUAAAAGCAUGAAUCUAAUUAUAAAUUCAAAACCCCCUUUUUGUAAAUUCAUAAUUUCUAAACCUUUAACAUGAUUAAUAAGAAUAUACCAUACCCAUGUAGAUUUAGGAAAAUCCCACGUACCUUAGAUUACAAGGUUUGAAGAGUAGAACUUGAAUCUUGAUUUGUUCUUCGGAAAUCUUGGACUUACGAUAUUGAUUCUUGAUCUUGAAAGAAAGUCUAGUCUCCAUUUUACUCUUGAGAGAGGAAAGGAAUUGAGA
rnacentral:lncRNA from 1 species